rnacentral:tRNA from 1 species
GUUUUUAUAGUUGAAUAACGACGUUGAUUUUUCAUGUCAAAGGUCUGGUUAAUAACGCCAGUAGAAAUA